AGGUGUAUUCACCAGCAUAAAUGCCACAUGGCCUGGAAGUACUCAUGAUGCUCAUGUUUUCAGAACCUCAGUACUGUCUGAUUAUUUGGAAGCCCAUCAUCAUGGAUCCCCACAGCAACAGAUGUUCAAUGACGCACAUGCAAAGACAAGAAAUGUUAUCGAAAGAGCAUUCGGUGUACUGAAGCGGAGGUUUCAUGUCCUUCAUGAAGCGGUACGAAUGAAGCCGGGGAAUUUAGCAAAAAUAAUUCUGGCAUGUGUAGUAUUGCACAAUCUCGCUAAGGCAUGGGGUGAGAGGGAGGCAUUCCCAGAGGAAGAAGACCCUCAACCUCCACCACUUGUCCAGCUUGAGGGUAACCCUGACGGACAGGCUAUCAGGGAUGCAAUAACUGCAAACUAUUUCAGAUGAAGACGGCAGGACAUUACAAGGCACCAUGGGUGACUUGAUCUAUGUAUGGCGUAAUAGUAUUCAGAAUGAUGUACGGACAUAGACAAAACAAGUCUUAAAAAUGUGUGUUCAUUUACAUCUGAUAAAGAUAAAGACAAAACAAGUCUUUAAAAUGUGUGUUCAUAAAUAUAUAGUUUAAUAAUUUUGAUUAUUUUCCCUGUGCAUAAUUAUGGAGAUCCAUUAUGUUUACAUUUAAAUGACAACUAGGUCAGCCAUCAGCUGAUUGAACAGAUGUAUUUAAAUAUAGGACAGGAAUUUUCUCACGCACCUUGUAAACACUGUCUACUACUGAGAGUCUACUCUGGUGGAGAGUGUACUGCAGUGAUUUAAAUUUGCUGGUAUAGGCAAAGGUGUAAAUUAGUAAGAAUAACUUACUUUAUUUACAUUUUUGUGUUUAUUGUGAGAUGAUUUGAUGGUCAUCCAUAUAAUUUUAAAUAAUAACUAAAUGUAAGGUCACUUGUUUGUAAAACCUUGCAAGAGGUAGAUGUUGUAGUUGGCUAUUUUCAAUUGCCACUUUCUACACUAAGUCUUGGUCACUGACCAUCAUUCACAUAUAUUAAAAACUUGGAACUUUAAACCCAUUGUGUUGUUAACACAAACCCCGGCUACAUAUGUAAUUUGUAUCAUUUAUUAUCAUUUUUAGAAUUAUUUUUUCUCAAAAUGAUAAAAAAAAUGUUGUUUUAUGACAUAUUGAUAGUGUUAAAGUAACUUAAUUGGCCAAGCGCCCAACACCAGUUUGCGAAAUUUGCACUAACCCGGAAGGGUUUUGGCUUGUGAAAAUCCAUUCGGGCUAGUGGGAAUUAAAAAAUGAAUAUUGUCGGGCUGGUAAGAAGUAAGAAAUUUUUACUUUUAAGUUUUUAUAUUAUGGGUAUAAGAAUUAGGGCUAUUGAAUACUUAAAAAUCUGAAUUUCUCACACUGCAACACCUGUGGUAAACUAUAUAACAUUCUUUUACAGUUUGUCUUUGGCAAAUGCCAUCAUGAGCUUUCCCUCCUCAAAAAACUCUCUCUGGGAUUUCAUAAGUAGCAACUUUUCCUGUUGAACUGCAAUGGCUCCAGCAUAAUAUGCCAUCUGCAGUUCCCUCAGGGUCUGCUCUUUCCCGAUUUAUAGGAAAGUGCUUUGUAGCAUUUUUUACCAUAAACAUUUAUAAAUAAUAAUUUAUUAUAACUUAAUAACAAAAUCUUAUUUAUUAUGUUAUACAUCUGCAGUGUUUAUGUUGAUUUUUAAAUCUAAGUAAGGUCUAAGAGUUUUUCCAUUUAAAUUUGAUUUCCUUAAUGAUAUUAUUAAAUUUAUUAAAUAAAAGGAAUUAUUACACAAAGUUUGAAUAUGUAACAAAUGAGAAAAACAUGAGGAUAUACCUUUUACCAAUAGCUGGAUUCCUGCUUGGUUUAAUUUCCUUUUUAUUCACAGGAACAGGCACACUAAGAACUGAAAUGCAGAUAUUUAUUUUACAUCUUGUUAAGUACUUAUUUACAAUGUUAAGUUUCAAUAUUUUCUAUGGAAUUAAACACUUUAAGUAAAUGCAUUUAACUUAUCUUCUUAACUUCAUAAGUGUGGUCAAUAGGCGUUUCUUGAUUGUAUAAGCCAAUUAUGAUAUUUACCUUGAUCUGCACUGCUGUCUUCUGAUGUUUCUGAAAAAAAAAAGAAAUCAUUUAUUAAUAAUUUAGAAAACAAUAUUAACUUAUUUUAAUUUCCUGUGAUUUUUUUUAAACAUAUAUAGUCAAUAUGAUUAAGAGCAACAGUAUAUCAAUUAUUUAUAACUGCAUCAGGGAUGGAAAUUAGUGGUUGACCGUGAACCCGGGGCAAGUAGAUUUUGGCCUGGGCAACUCAAUUUCAAAAGUUGGUAGUCCAGCCGGGCAAGUUUACUUUUUUUAAAGCUUGAAACAAAUCAGUGCAAUAAAAAUUUGUGACUGUGGAUCAACAAUGAGUUUAAAAAUAUUCAUUAUUAAUUAAUGCAUAGGAAAUUAUUCAAUUCAGGCUCAUAAUAAUACAUAAUGCAUUAAAAGUGUGUCAUGUCAGCAAUGUUAUUUAAGUGUCUGUUUUUGUAUUUAAAUAAUAAUAUUAGAUGCACAUGACACAACAUUAACAUAUUUCUGGGCUUGUAAUUCUUCAGCUGGGCAACCAAAAUACUAAAGUCGGUUGCCCGUGUGGGCAACCAAAAGUAAAAAGUUAGUUUCCAUCCCUGCAGCAUGUUUAAGUUUAACUGCUUUCUUAAAUUCAUAUUAUAAAGUGAUAGGGAAUUAAAUUGCUGUAUAAUUAACUCAAUAAAACAAUUAUUGAGUUUAUUGGAGAAGUUUGGCAUCUUUUUGGGGAAAUUUUGGUCAGAUUUAUGGGAAAAAGUUACUUUUUGCCGUUUAUAAGAAACAACCGUUUUUUAACUUUUUGCAUUUGGGAAACAGUCUGUAAGAGGCUGUAAUUUUGGGCAAACAAAAUCACUGAUUUCAAAAUGUUAAAUUUUGUUUUGUAUAAAUGUGUAAGUACAUUAUUACUAUUGUUAAAGCCAUGU